rnacentral:rRNA from 1 species
UACGUAGGGGGCAAGCGUUGUCCGGAAUUAUUGGGCGUAAAGCGCGUGUAGGCGGUCCGGUAAGUCCGCUGUGAAAGUCGGGGGCUCAACCCUCGAAUGCCGGUGGAUACUGUCGGGCUAGAGUGCGGAAGAGGCGAGUGGAAUUCCUGGUGUAGCGGUGAAAUGCGCAGAUAUCAGGAGGAACACCAAUUGCGAAGGCAGCUCGCUGGGACGUAACUGACGCUGAGACGCGAAAGCGUGGGGAGCAAACAGG